GACGUAGGGGGCGAGCGUUGUCCGGAUUUAUUGGGCGUAAAGGGUUCCUAGGCGGCUUAUGCAAGUCGGGUGUGAAAACUCCAGGCUCAACCUGGAGACUGCAUUCGAUACUGCUAUGGCUAGAGUUCGGUAGGGGCGCAUGGAAUACCCGGUGUAGCGGUGAAAUGCUUAGAUAUCGGGUGGAACACCAGUGGCGAAGGCGGUGCGCUGGGCCGAAACUGACGCUGAAGAACGAAAGCGUGGGUAGCAAACAGG
rnacentral:rRNA from 1 species